AGAGAGAGAGAGAGAGAGAGAGAGAAGAAAGACAGAGAGAUAGAACGAAAGGGAAAAGUUGGCGAACAGUUACGAAGUUUUGCUCGCGGCAGUAGUUACGUUUAGUUCCGCCCACUCUGUGAACACUCGCAUAGAAUUUGCUUCGGACUUCGUUUGCGAACCGGAAAAAUUUCCUAAAGAGAUUUCUAGUAUAGUAUAUAGGAUCGUUAGAUAUAAUUUCAGAUUAAUAACAGAUAGAACGGUGUAAUACGAAAGUCUAAUAAAUUAACUAGCACCUAUAAACUACUUCGAGUCCGAUCACCUAAAAUGUUAAAAAGAGAGAGGGAGAGGAAGAGAGAGAGAGAGAGAGAGAGAGAGAGAGAGAGAGAGAGAGAGAGAGAGAGAGAAGAGAUCCUGAAGAAAGCGACACGAGCGUGUCGGCUUACGGAAGAGGCCGGUUACCUUCAGAGCGACGAUUUCCGCAUAUCCGAGUGUCCCGCCACGGAGGGUCGUCACCGACCUCUUUAACCCCAAUCCCUGUGCAUUGACCCGUAGGUGGAAGGAAAGAUGGUUUAUUUUUUUUGAAAUCUCCAUUGUCAGUCUAGAUCGACUGCUCUAGGGAUUUUUUUUUAUAUGCUUUUUUCUCUUUAUUAAUUUGGCCGCUUCGUCCACGUUCGAACGCACAUACGACGCGUAAAAAAGACUCACAGAGAGAUAGACAAGAACAAAGUAAAGAGCAGAAGAAGAAGAAAAAA